UUCCCUAUCAUCUUGCACUCUCACACUCUAUAAAAAGUACCCAACACUCCUCACACACACACAUUAAUAUCUGUAUAUUCACUCACAAAAAAGACACGGGAAUUUCACCCUAAUUUUUGCUAAAAAACACACUCCAGUUUUUCUCUAAAAUCUGAUACAUUAACUCAACUCUCAACUCUCACGGAGUUUUGGGAAAGAAGACAAAUUUGUUGGGAUUUCAUUGGUACCUUAAGCUGUUAAAGUUGCAGUUCGCUGGUUCUAUUUGUUCCUGGAUCUGUUUGAGCUUCUUUCUCCAUUUCUAUUGCCUUUAUUUGGCUGUUUCAAGCUUGUUUCCAGCUUUAGGAGUUUAAUAAUUUGGCAAUUGUGACCACCAGGUUGUCACAAUUGUGAAUUGAAGAAUACAAACCCAUGCCAAGCAAUUCAAAUGUCUUAAUGAUCGUUUUUUCUCAUUCCCUAUUUUCUUCUGAACGAAUGUUUGAUGGUCAUUUGAUAGCUAGUCCACUGUUGAUCAAAAAAUAAAAGAUUUAGAGGUCUAUAGUAGCAGAUUUGGCCACAUGUUGGCCUGAUUUGCAGUUGACAACCUAGGUGAAGUUCCACUUUUGGUUUGUAGCUGUUAAGCACACAUUGGAAUUAGCAUUGUGUAAAAUUCAUUUUUAAGUUCUCAUCCAUGUAAUUAAUUGGAUCAUUUAGUUAGGUUGUUUUUUACUA